ensembl:lncRNA
CAGAGAUUGCAGAGAGCAGCUGCAAGCCAAGGAAGGCCAAGGACCGUCAGCAGCACCAGAUGCUGGGAGGGAGGCCAGAAGGGAUUCUCCUCAGAGCCUCCAGAAGCCACCCACCUGCUGACACCUGGAGUUUGGACUUCCAGACUCCACAACAGUAUGUCCGCCUAGGUCACCUUGAUGAGUUCCAGACACUGCGGCUGGAGGAGAGUUGCACCAUCACUGAUGAGAAUGAUCAGGUCACUGGAUACAAAACAAAGAGGAACUGCCACCUGAUUGAAAAAUUGAAAAGGGUAAGGCGGAAAGAGGUUCUUGUCUGUGUUCAGGAUCUGUCACAUCGGCUAUUCCCAAACUUGCCAAGUGCACCGAGGAAGCAUGUGAGAAAAUGUCACUGAGCAGCAGACAGUUUACGUGUGUGGUGCUUCUCCCUUCAUACAGCUUUGAAGAAAAGUCAGGACCAUUAUACCCUGACUGUGAGCUCUGUCCGUGUCAAGGGUCACCACAAGGCCAGAGCCUGAGAGGUCACUUGGCCCCACCAGGUUCUCCCUCUGCCCACCUGGUCAGCCUGUCACCGCAACAACUGUGGGUCCUGAGGACCAGGUUUACACUUGGUUGGUUGGGUCCAAAUCCUAGACCUGUGUUCCUGGUAUGGAUGCUCAGUUCUUUACCCUCCAGUUUCCUUUUUUAUAAAUAGGGGAAAUAAUAGUGCUGCCCUCAAAGUGAGGCCAUGAGUACCAGAUGAACAGACAAAGCGUAUAGCACCUGGAGUAUAAUGCAACGAAGCCAAGGUGAGAUGCUGCUGCUGUUCAAGUCCUGAGCUGAGUGAGAGGAUGCGACGGGGCAGAGGGGACCGCUUCCAUAGACUUCACAUGCACAGCGGCUGUGUUUUAACCAACACACACCCACUCUGUAGGGCUGUUACACUGACGCUUCAGUGUCAUCCUGUUCAACCAGCAAGACCAGCUCCUCAUACAGCAGAGAUCUGACUACGUACAUGUUUCCCGGUGAAGCUUGUCAGAUGAAACCUAAAAGCCUGCUGACUUCUGACCUGUCCUGUGGGAGCACACGGAGGGUUGACUAGUCAGCAAACCCACCCAAAGCUCUCUCAGGAAAUCUCAGUCCCACUCCAACAGACAAUGGAAGGACACCACAUUACCAGCAUUGACAAACUGGAAUUUUUUCAGGGAAGUGAAGAGACCCAUUUGUCUCAGAAAUGCAAAUUUGGGGGCAGUGAAAAGAUUUUGUAGUUCAAAGGAAUUGAGACUUUAAUGUGAAUAAUAUUUGACCAAGAUUUGAAAAGUUGAAUUGAUAAUAAGGUGAUAAUUCAGAAUUAAAUCUAUUUUAUCCACUAAAUGGGGAUUAGGAAGGGAAUUAUCCUGUUUAGUUAAAAAAAUUUCCAAUAAAGUAGGCACUUUAUCCAUGCUUUCCAGGGUAUUUCAUUGGCUCCUGCUCUGGUCACUCCCUAAGCAAUCCCGAAGAUUGCUCUGGAAGAAAAAGACGCCUUGGGAGUGAGUAGGGCAGCCGUGAGACAUCUGCAGGCUGGGCCGGGAAUCCCUAUGGAACAGGUACCCUGCAUCUUGUCUUCUAAAUCUUUCUACACAACUGUGUUAGUUACUCAAAUUCUUACCUCCAAUCAAAACUCCAGGAAAGAAAAUAAACUUUGGGUGCAAAUUUAGAAAAUUGUGUGUGGAUUUCUAUGAUGCAUUCUCUGUUUUUACAACAUGAGGAUAGGUGAAAGCGAAGAAUCUGAACAUUGGUUGUUACUUAAUAAGUGAUGCUGAGUUAGAUAAGAAUCAGAGGUAGAGCCUUCUCAUGAAACCUAUGAAAACCCGAUUCACAAUCUAUGAACACAGAAAUCCCUUACAUGGUAUUUACAGAUAAAAUACGACUUUUGUUUAUGAAAUCAGGGUGUAUGUGCCCCACAGAAAUACGCUUAUCAGUUACUUAUAGCACUUUUCAUAUUUCAAUUGUGUCCAUAUAAUUAUCCCAUUGGGUGCACAACAAAAUGAAUUUUCAAGGCUAUAAAACUGUGCUUUCUUUAAUUUGGUCUCCCCAGUGAAAAAUGAGUGAGUGGCACUCAGUGGAUGCACUGUAUAUAUUUUUUUAAUGAAAAAAAGAAUGAAUUUGAAUUCUCUCUCCAACGUAUUUUCCUUGUGUUUGAAUUAACACAGAUCAACUUUUGUCACAGCUUUCCAUAAAGGAUAUAAUUUUUAUGACCCGAAUUUACCACAAGAGUCCAUUGAAUAAUGUCUGGCGGGACCAUAAAAUUGGCUAUCUUCUGUUUGUGAGGAAAAACCUCAUGGUGAACCUAGACCCCAGGGGGGUCCAACAUUACUGCUACAUGACCUGGGAGGAGAUGGGGGUCCUCCUGGACAGGGCAGCCUAGGAACAGGAGGAGGUCACCCCGUGGAUUAAGACCAUCACAAAGGGCUUUCUGUUCAAGUGGUGGGGUCAUUUACUGGACGUCUCCCCAUUUGUGGAGCCUGACAAAAUUCACAAGCGAGAAGCUGUGGGAGGGGACUGUCCGAAGUAAGGGGUCACCCAACCCCAUGAUCUCAGCUCCUAUUUCAGAUUAAAACAGCACACAUGCUGAUGAAGGUGCACUACAGAAAUCUAGUCAUAAAAUUUCUUUAAUCACUUAGAUUUAGCUUAAGAAUCUCCUUCACAAUUAUACUCGAGAGCUCCCUUGUUUUCAUCCAUCUCUUAAAAUGCUUCAGCUGCUUUCUAUAGAAAACGUCAUUUUUGUCCUAAAACUUUCCCUCUAGUGGCUUCACCAUUCCCCAUUAGCUGGGUGCAGACACGAGCUCACACAGGUACGGCAGCUCUUCACGUCGCCUCUCUACUGGGUCCUUGAUCACGUGUCCUUGGAGAAUUUCAUCCUUUAGGAAGAUAUGUUGCAUGAUGAUGACAUAUAAGAAAAAAAAUUAAAUGUCUGUUAGUAUUAACUGAGGAAAUUAAUCUCAUCAAAAUACUGACUUAGACUAGAAAUAAAUGCUUGCUAGCAUAUAAACAUAUAAUCAUUUUAAAAAUAAAAUUGUUUAAUUUCCUUAAAGAGGUGAAUCUUUUUAUUGAAAUGUUAUCAUAGUUACAUAUUAACCUGUUUUUACUGCCCAUUUCACAAGAUCUAUACUCAUAAUCUUCAUUAUCAAAAAUGUAUUAAAAUGCAAAAACUUGAAUAAUAAGAAAUCUUGAAAAAGAGGUAUUGUAAUUCACUGAUUUUCUAAGUAAAUCCUAAUGAGGAAACCACUUUUACUAAGUGCUUGUUAAAUUCUUUGCCAUGUAUAAAUAUAUUUGAUCAUUUUCCUGAAAAUCAAUAAAAAUCAGAUGGAAAUUGCUUACUCCUUCUUUGAGGAUUCCCUGGUCUUUGGUCUUGGGGUCAUCAUUCAUGAAACGAAUCCACAGGGUAGAGUUUCAAGAUGGAGUUGACCGGGUUGAGUGGAUGAAUUCCAGCACUGGAAUUUCAGGAUCUCUUCUUCUCUGUUCUUUCCCUUGUUCUGCUGUAGUGUCUGGGCAAAAAAACUUUAUCCUGCUGGAAUUCACCGGAAGAACCUAGAAGUGUUUACUGGCCCAUCAUUUCUAAUAUUUCCACGCUGAUCCCAAACCUUAGUUUUUAUACCAACAACCUCCCUACACAUCUGUUGAGAAGUACCAAUUUAACAUGUCUUUCACCCUUGUGGGGAAAAGCUCUUUUUCAAAGGGACAUUAAUAAUGUUUAGAGUUUCAAAGACCAUGGUUAGUACGUUUUAGCUUCCAGCACUGUGCACAAAGCUAUUUCACACUGGUAGAAACGGGGUCAACUUUGGAUCAUUUUACUUACUGACAUGACCACAAAUGGAAGGAAACUAGAGAAGCAUAAUGGCAUGCAAAAAAAAAAAAAAAAAAUAGAGUUUCUGGUUGUGAAUGGCUUCCUCUCACACUAAACUUUAGAAAUGACAGAACAGACAGUACAAAUAAAAUCAAAUACAUCAGCAUUCUUGCAAAUGAAAGGAAUUCUCAGAGAAAAGCAAAAGAAUGAAGGAGAGGCAUCUUUGUAAAAUAUAGCUGGUACUUUUCCAACAAUAAAGACAUUCUGAAAUUGGAAGAGCCACCUAGUAUCCAGCAGGAGGAGGAGGAAAAAACCUGAAGAAAUUUACAACGAAAUUUCAGAACCUCAAUUAGAAAAGACAAAAUCCUAAGAGGAUUAAAAAACAGAAAGAUAUAAAAAC